UCCGCUAACGUUUGUUUCUCUUAUAAUCUCAACAUUUGUUCUGUUGUUAUUCAACUUGCUCGGAUUGCUCUGAAGGUUUGUUGUCUAUCCACAAAGCUUUGUUUGGGCUGUGCUGCUCUGUAUUUGUUGUUCUUCAGGGGGUGUUUGUGUUGAGGCUUUGUGAUUCUGCUUUUUGUGUGCUUGGUUUGUCCUGCGCAAAUUUAUUCUUUCAUCAGGUUUUUCCCUUUUCACUUGCCUUUUCUUUCCUGGGUCUUUUUAUGCUGCCCUGCUGCAUCCUUUUCUUCUUCUUCUUCUUCUUCUUCAGGUUGUUUCUUCUUUUCUCUGAUCAAUCCAACUCUGCUGCCAAUGACGCAUUUAUGUCCUUGCUCAUUGUUUUCUGUUUCUCUCUCUU
rnacentral:lncRNA from 1 species